rnacentral:rRNA from 1 species
AUCUCUGGUCAUCUUUGGAGGGAACAUAUUUGAUAUUAAGUUAUCAGAAAUGAGGUCUUCAUACUUUACUGUGAAAAAAUUAGAGUGUUCAAAGCAGGCUUUUGUUGUUGAAUAUAUUAGCAUGGAAUAAUUAUAUAUGACUAUGGUACUAUUUUGUUGGUUUGUCUGCCAUUGUAAUGAUUAAUAGGGACAGUUGUGGGUAUUUGUAUUCCAUUGUCAGAGGUGAAAUUCUUGGAUUUCUGGAAGACAAACUACUGCAAAAGCAUUUAUCAAAGAUGUUUUCUUUAAUCAAGAACGAAAGUUAGGGGAUCGAAGAUGAUUAGAUACCAUCGUAGUCUUAACCAUAAACUAUGCCAACUAGGGAUUGGUAGGAGUGAAUAUGACCUUAUCAGCACCUUAUGAGAAAUCAAAGUUUUUGGGUUCCAGGGGGAGUAUGGUCGCAAGUCUGAAACUUAAAGAAAUUGACGGAAGGGCACCACCAGGAGUGGAGCCUGCGGCUUAAUUUGACUCAACACGGGAAAACUCACCAGGUCCAGACAUAGUUAGGACUGACAGAUUGAGAGCUCUUUCUUGAUUCUAUGGGAGGUGGUGCAUGGCCGUUCUUAGUUGGUGGAUUGAUUUGUCUGGG